rnacentral:rRNA from 1 species
UACGUAGGUGGCAAGCGUUGUCCGGAUUUACUGGGCGUAAAGGGAGCGUAGGUGGAUAUUUAAGUGGGAUGUGAAAUACCCGGGCUUAACCUGGGUGCUGCAUUCCAAACUGGAUAUCUAGAGUGCAGGAGAGGAAAGGAGAAUUCCUAGUGUAGCGGUGAAAUGCGUAGAGAUUAGGAAGAAUACCAGUGGCGAAGGCGCCUUUCUGGACUGUAACUGACGCUGAGGCUAGAAAGCGUGGGGAGCAAACAGG